CUGGUAGUUGGCCAUACAUGGUCUUAACAUAAAGGUUCCUAAGUCACAAUUAUGUUGGCUUAAUUUGCAUAAUAAUGGAUUUUUUAUGGCAUAGUCUUUCUUCAAUUCUUUACAGCUUGAAAGAGAAAUUUACUGAUAAAAUACUCUGUUCCAUCCCCAGAUACUUGAGGUCAAAGAGUACGGUGUCUUGUGAUCCUCUUCUAUUCACUGAAUCAGGGUGUGUGAUAAGAACAACACUUCUUUUUUCUUAAAUGCUGUGAAGAAAAUUUUCUAGCCAAAGGAAGCAUGCUUGAAUACAGAUGUGCAGAAUUAUGGGAACUGCUGAGUCACAUCCUGAAACACUGGUUAAUUACUUAAGGAAAGGAUGGAAUCAGCCAUGGAAGCACAGGUGAAGAUGAUUCACCUGUGUGACCUCCUAGACCCCUCUUAAGGCCUGACUGCCUCCUAGAGAAGGUUCUCUUUCAGAAGAUCUUGUAUUUGAGAAGCCUCUCCAGCAAACUUAGAUCUUCAGAUACAGGUGAGCAUUCCUUCCCUGUUUGUUUCUUUUUCCAUUUUCACUACGAUAAUCUUUCCAGCUGUAACAUCAACUGUAACAGCUUACAAUUAUCCUAAUGGACUACAGCAUUCCACAAAAUCAUUAAGGUAAUCAUGCAUUCUGAUGACUGUGCCCCUUAUGCAAACAUAGCAAGAUAUACAGAUGAUUGUGAAUAAACUGGGAUAACCAGGAGACAGCUAGCUCUGAAUUUGUACCCUGGCCUCUGUAAAACAAGCUAUAUACAACAUCACAAUUAUAGCUGGAGCACAGGAGAUUAAAGGCACCUGAAGAUUAGCCCUUUUUGCCAGCAGCUUAUUUAGCAAUUACCCUCUCAUAUAAAACACUGACAAAUCCAGAGUAUGUUUUCUCAUACUCUUUGUUUAGGUGCAAAACUCAUCUUUGCUGUUGGUGGAUAUAUACGGCUUCAGGCUGGGUUCACACUUCAUGCUGUCUUAUGUGCAAGGGGCUCAGCUAGAGAAGUAGAAGGAAGAUACAAGAGGACAGAGAGAGAAGCAGAGACUUCAGACUGCAGGUUUGCAUAUCUAGUAUGUGAACGGUGUUUUGAAGCAAGCUCAUUCUGCUCUGUGCAUGUUAUGUUAACCAAAAGGCAGCACUUUUUAUUCAUUGAUGUCUGCAAAUCAGAAAAUUCACAAAUUUUUGCUGGAAAUUCUGGGUGGUGCAAGAUAGGAAAAAAAUCCUAUUGCAUUUGAUGCAAACAGAUAAACUUACCUUCUAUAAUUUGUUCUUGAUUUUACUGUUACUUGUUCUUUCUUUCUCUGUAUUUAAAUAUGUCUGUACGCGUGGUCUUCAGAAGGCAGAUUUUUGAACAGGAAGCCUUGAUACAACUGUUGGUGUCAUUGAUGAAGACAUUAAAGAUUGUCAGUCCCUGUACUGACCUCUGAGGGACACCACACAUCACUGGUCUCCAUCUGGACAUGGAGCCACUGACCACCACUUUAUUGAGUCCAGUUGCUUGUACAUUAAACAAAUCUACCCAUCAAAUUAAUGUAUUUCUAAUCUGUAGAGAAGGAUGUUAUGAGGAACUAUGUCAAAGGCCUUUAGUUCAUAUUGUUGAUAUCAGUGACUCUUCCCUUGUCUACUGAUGCAGUUGCACCAUUAUAAAAAGCAGAGUGGUUGGUCAUGCAUGAAAUUUUUUUCAGUAAUCAUUUCAGUGAACUUCAGUUGAAAUUAAUUUUUGAAUUCUUUUCUGAAGUGCAGUCUUUCUGUUUCAUGAUCACCAUUUCAGCUUUUAUGGAUGUGUAUGAACAUUUUUCCAUGUAAAGAAAGAUAUAAUCUUUUUAUCUAUUCAGAUACAAAUAAACAAACAAACAAAAAAAAAACCA
rnacentral:lncRNA from 1 species